CCUCCUUUCUUCCGCCGUCGGGAAUUUUCCACAAUGGACGAAAGCCUGAUGGAGCAACGCCGCGUGAGUGAAGAAGGGUUUCGGCUCGUAAAGCUCUGUUGGUAGUGAAGAAAGAUAGAGGUAGUAACCGGCCUUUAUUUGACGGUAAUUACUUAGAAAGUCACGGCUAACUACGUGCCAGCAGCCGCGGUAAUACGUAGGUGGCAAGCGUUGUCCGGAUUUAUUGGGCGUAAAGCGAUUGCAGGCGGUUCAAUAAGUCUGAUGUGAAAGCCUUCGGCUCAACCGGAGAAUUGCAUCAGAUACUGUUGAACUUGAGUGCAGAAGAGGAGAGUGGAACUCCAGGUGUAGCGGUGGAAUGCGUAGAUAUAUGGAAGAACACCAGUGGCGAAGGCGGGUCUCUGGUCUGCAACUGACGCUGAGGCUCGAAAGCAUGGGUAGCGAACAGGAUUAGAUACCACAGUAGUC
rnacentral:rRNA from 1 species